rnacentral:lncRNA from 1 species
UUUUUUUUUUUUUUUUUUUUUUUUUUUGGUAUUUACUUAGCUAUAAUAAAGAAUAAAAAGUCAUUUAAAAAACGCGAUAGGACAGAUAACAGACUCACAACCUAUUUAGAUUUAAACACUGCUGGUCUACGUAACCUGUUACAAAAAAGAGCAAAACCUAACUGUCAGCAUAGACAUUAAAGCUCACUGUUGAUUAUAGCCCAGGGUCUGCUCAGCAUUGUUUAAAAAGGGUCACUCACAGUUUUGUCAAAGAGUGCCGGUGUUCUCCAUGAACUCAGAAAGUGUUUUAUCCGAAAAGGUGAUUUUCUAAGUAGUGUAAGCCAUGGGUACAUGGUGCAAAAAGUUCAUGUUCUCACUCAGCUGGUGAGCAAAGGAUGGGAGCAGAGAACAGAGCUAAAACCCCUGGUUUUCCUUUCCCCAGAUGUAAAGCCUGCUAGCUGGAACUUACAGAAGAUUGGAACAAAAAGGUAGGAGAUGGACACCUGGGGGGCUGCUCCAGCAUGAAGGGAAGCAAUGAGCAUUGCACAGCAGGGCCAUUGCAGGGGACAGGUGCUAUAAUUCCUGCCCAGAGAACUUGAAAGCUUACAGUGUGAUAACAGGAAGGAAUCGGCUCAGCUAGUCCGGAAAUUGUUGCAUUUCCCACAUUACUUAGUUCUUUAUUCAUCCUGUGGUAAAGAGUCACCCUUGUUUUCUGUAUCUAUAAAACUGAAAGACUUAACACUUACUUAGCACAGCUCCCAACACCUUAGUAAAUGCUCAAGAAAUAUUAUUUCCCUUCCUUCUAGAAACCAAGACUAAAUAAAACAUUCCUGAAUUUUAUGUUGUCCAAAGUAACAAAACAAAACAACACCGAGUUUUUUCCUGUGCUAAGUACCGACCCUUUGACCACAAAGGCAUGGAACAUUAAUCUUCAAAUGGGCCGGGUUCCUUUGCCCUGAGAAAUGUUCCACUGUGAGGAUUUAUAAUACCUUUAAUCCUGGCUGGUUGUUUUUCUGAUGUGAUUGCACUCCUGCAAACUGGGAUUUUCCUAAUGGAUGUAACCCUAUUUCUUUUCUCCUGAUGUGCAAAUCUGAUAGUGGCUCACUUUUAGGAAACCACUUUUCAGCCUUUGGAAAAAAUUCUUUCCCCCACACCCACCUCAAUCUAGUAAUGGAAGAAUAUAUACAAAAUCUCCCAGCGACGAGGGAUUCCUCAGUCAUCCUGGAUUUACAUAUAAGGCACAUUUAAGGCACAAAUGAGCAUGCAAGGGAGGAAUGUGAGUGUGUGUGUGUCAGAGAGAGAAGGAGGGAGAGAGAAGCAUAGGCAUUUGGGUGUUUUGAAUAACUAUUAAUGUUUCCUCAAUCCCUUCUAUUCCCUGAUAUUCCCCAGGGCCUCAGGCAACACUCUUCCUUAUGAAACUGAAAAGGCUUAGGAGUAACUGAAUGAAUGAAUGAAUGAAUGAAUGAAUGAAUGAAUGAAACAUCUAAGACUUGUCUCCGGAUCCUUCACAGCCCCCACAUCACCACCACUUACUCCCUCCUGUAACUGCUCUCCCAGUGGGGCCUAUCCUAGCAUGUGUCUACGGACAGCCUCAGUUGAAGGUGGCCAAACAAAAUGACUCUCAAGAGGGCACUACCUGCCCACGGCUUCACAGGUCCAGCCAGCCCAGCGAGCAGAAGGGCUGGUGGAUUUAACCCAGGUUUCUUAAAGACUGGCUUUAACAGAACCAACUGUAGUGACUUGGGGCAGAUGAAGGGCAGGAUGAAGGUCUUCUCGUGCAUCUCUGCCCUCUCUGUGUUGGCAAGGUCAGCAUGAAUGGGCCAUUAUUCAACUGGGGGUGGGAUGUCCCCAUUUCUGGACUGUGCUCAGUUUCACACCUUGUAUGACAUGUGUGCAGAGGAGCUGGCCUGGAGAGGCCUCUGAUUCUGCCUCUAUGCUUUUGCUGGGUCUGAGGACAUGGGAGGGAGGAGUCAUAAAAUGCUGGAAAACAAUUUUAAUAAAACACUUGUGAAAAAAUGCUGGACAUUGACUCCCUGCCAGAAUAAAGAAGAGCCAAUUCAACAUCCCAACUUCAUGGGCACGUAAGAUUCACAAGCUGAACCGAGAGAUUUAGGAAGAAAAAAAAAACAUGGUAAUUAUAGGGGGUUUGUGAAUAAGUUGAACUAAAAGCUGCUUUCACAAUCUACAAAUCAGGGCUCCAAAUCAAAAUCAUUUAUAUUAACCAAAAGGUUAUCUAAUUUUGCCCAUAUUGGUGUCAAAUCUCAUCCCCACUCCCUGCCAAAAAAGAGCAACCUAGUUCAGCUGUCGGAUUUUUAUAUAACACUCUCUUUAUGUGAGCUAGACUCCAGAGUCCUCACACUUCACAGAAAUUCUUUCUUAAAACUGGCACUGCAGCCUUUCAUUUACAAUAUCCCUUUUUAAGUGCAAAGUCGAGAGCUGCGAAAAGAACCACACUGGGGGGGUCUGGGUUACGCAGGUCUUAUCCAGUGAAAAAUUAGUUCUCUGAAUCUUUGCAAGAUAGCUCUUUCACUGGUGCAAUCUAAGAAAGGGAAUGGGAAACCUGUUUACAUGAUGAAAAAUAUAAUUAAGAGAUUUACUCUUUAUUGCUUAUGGUCGCUCUGACAGACUCGUAUUUCUCAAAACUUACAUUCAGGAGCCAAUGUCUGCCACUAUUUGAAAUCUUUAGAGCUAAUCAUAAGUUAAUGACUAGUCUAAGAGGCCACUUGAUGGGGAAAACAAAUCCACUGAUAUUCUGGUCUUAAUUCCUGAACAGAAAAUGCGCACACAUCCAUUAAUUAUUUGGAACCAAUCUGGUGCUAUACAACUCUUCUGCGUCCUCUUGACCCCAUUGUGUCCUCCUAAAGGGACAAUUGUUAGUUCCUUUAACUCACUCAAGCAAGGAGUGGAGGGCAGAGGUUUAUCUAAAAGAGCAGUGAUGUUGGUUCUUGGAGCCCCCUUAAAAGGGCCAUCUGAGCUCUCUGGCUAAUGUCCCAUGUUUCUACAUAGAUUCCGUUUUGGAAGGACAGUUUCCCAGAGAAAGAGUCCCGCUGUUUGGAGGUCUAGACAGAGUGAUGUCAAGCAAGGGUAGGUAAGGGAGAAAAUAAAAUCCUCAAAGCACUAAGGACAAAGCACAAAGCACUAAGGCUAGAAGUUUCCUUUACCUUCUCCCUCCUCAUUCAGAAGAGCACGUUUUCUACUCUACACCCGGGAGCCUUGAAAACCCACUCUGGUUCAGUUGCAGCAGGUACAUGAGCUGGCUCAUUCUCUCACUUCUGCUCUUAAAUUUGAAACCUUUCCUUCCUCAUUGCCCAAAUCUACUUAGGUAAGUAAAUCUUAUCUUUUUGCCUUCUUUGGGCCCUAUGGCUGCCUAUGCCUGAUAAUGACCUGACAGUUUAAAAGAGAGGGAUGGGUCAGUGGAGGCCCAUUGGCUACCAGACACCAGCCAGGCCCAACAGGAUCUGGCCUGCAGACAGUGGAGCAGAGAGAAGCAGAAGCAGAACCUGCUAGCAACCCUGCUCCUGCACAGCCCAGACAGUCUCCACCCCGGCUAAUGUGAGGGACAACAAGAACCCUCCAGACAACAGGGCUGCCAGGACUACAGGGGCCCAGUCCAGCUUCCACUCACAGUGAGAAGAUGAACUUGGCCGCGUUCCAGGCUGGAACCCUCUCCAGCAUAGCAGAGAGAGGGGAAUCACUCACAGGGAGCCCCAAACGGGCCUAGACAGACAAGGCAGGGCCCCGCUUAUGAGAUACGAUGACAAAUGUUAAUAACAUCAAAUCCUGUACCUGAUAUGGAAUGGAAGCCAGGUUGUGGGCUUAAUCCCUCUAAGUACAGGCUCCAAUAACAAUGCAGAUGACGUGUGUGUGGUGGAGGGGAGAGAGAGAGAGAAGGGGAGAGAGAGAGCGAGCGAGUGAGAGAGAGAGAGAGAAGCCAAAACCAAAGGCAUUUCAGCUGCUCCUAAAAAUAAAAUACAAACUCUAUGCAUAUUUCUUACACAAAAUCUUUCCUAAGCUGGGAAAAAAACACUUGAGGGUCUUCUACAUUAUACAAUAAAAAGGCAAUUUCCAUUUCUUAUUUGUAUGAAAGAGGAAAGAUUUUUUUUAAACUACAAAAGUUACUUUUAAUCAUAAAAAAAAAAAAAAAAAAACCAACUAAAAGUAGGUUGGGGGUUACGUUGUAUCUCUUUGGGCGAGCUGCAAAGUAGCCAAACCUGACUAUCAAAGGUAAGAAUGUGGAUACACAAAUGUCACCCACCCCACCGUGCUUUGUGCAGGCAGGGGACGAGGAGGACAAAGUGGAAGUGUGGAGGGAGGAGGGGGCCAGGCAGGUGUGGAAAGACAAGCCAGCAAGGCUGUCUGAAAAGUCUGUUGUCAGGAACAGGGCUUCCCUUCUCUGUCACGAAAACAGGAUAGAAAAAGCUUGUGGCCAGGGAGCCCCGGGCCUGAGCGAGGCAUGGUGCCAUCUCUCGCUCUGAGCUCAUCCUAGAGGCAGACAUAUACAUGCUUAAGGGAACUUCUUUUUCAAUGGUUAUUAUUCCAGUUAAAAGAAAAAAAAAAAAAA